CGUUCUCGCCCGGACAGUUUUUCGAUACUCGCACGGAUUCUAUCUUUUCCCGGUACUCACCCGGAUUCUACCAUUUUUCGGUAGUCACACUAAUUUGACCUUUUUCCGGUAUUAGUCGGGACACUUUUUCGGUACUCACACUGAUUCGACCCUUUUCCGGAACUCGUCGGUACACUUUUUCGAUACUCGCAUGGAUUCUACCUUUUCCCGGUACUCUCCCGGAUUCUUCCAUUUUUCGGUACUCACACUCAUUCAACCCUUUUCUCGUACUCGCCCGGACAGUUUUUCGAUACUAGCACGGAUUCUACCUUUUCCCGGUACUCACCCGGAUUCUACUAUUUUUCGGUACUCACACUCAUUCGACCAUUUUCCAGAACUCGUCGGUACAGUUUUUCGAUACUCGCAAGGAUUCUACUAUUUCCCGGUACUCGCCCGGAUUCUUCCUUUUUACGGUACUCACAUUUAUUCAACCCUUUUCUCGUACUCGCCCUGACAGUUUUUCGAUACUCGCACGGAUUCUAUCUUUUCCGGGUACUCACCCGGAUUCUACCAUUUUUCGGUAGUCACACUAAAUUGACCUUUUUCCGGUAUUAGUCGGGACACUUUUUCGGUAUUCACACUGAUUCGACCCUUUUCCGGAACUCGUCGGUACAGUUUUUCGAUACUUGCACGGAUUCUACUAUUUCCCGGUACUCGCCCGGAUUCUUCCAUUUUUCGGUACUCACACUCAUUCAACCCUUUUCUCGUACUCGCCCGGACAGUUUUUCGAUACUACAACGGAUUCUACCUUUUCCCGGUACUCACCCGAAUUCUACCAUUUUUCGGUACUCACACUAAUUCGACCCUUUUCCAGAACUCGUCGGUACAGUUUUUCGAUACUCGCACGGAUUCUACUAUUUCCCGGUACUCGCCCGGAUUCUUCCUUUUUACGGUACUCACAUUGAUUCAACCCUUUUCUCGUACUCGCCCUGACAGUUUUUCGAUACUCGCACGGAUUAUAUCUUUUCCCGGUACUCACCCGGAUUCUACCAUUUUUCGAUAGUCACACUAAUUUGACCUUUUUCCAGUAUUAGUCAGGACACUUUUUCGGUACUCACACUGAUUCGACCAUUUUCUCGUACUCGUCGGGACACUUUUUCGACACGCACGGAUUCUACUAUUUCCCGGUACUCGCCCGGAUUCUUCCAUUUUUCGGUACUCACACUCAUUCAACCCUUUUCUUGUACUCGCCCGGACAGUUUUUCGAUACUCGCACGGAUUCUACCUUUUCCCGGUACUCACCCGGAUUCUACCAUUUUUCGAUACUCACACUAAUUCGACCUUUUUCCGGUAUUAGUCGGGACACUUUUUCGGUACUCACACUGAUUCGACCCUUUUCCGGAACUCGUCGGUACAGUUUUUCGAUACUCGCAUGGAUUCUACCUUUUCUCGGUACUCUCCCGGAUUCUACCAUUUCUCGGUACUCACAUUGGUUCGACUCUUUUUCGGUACUCGUCGGUACAGUUUUUCGAUACUCGUACGGAUUCCACUUUUUCCCGGCACUCGCCUCGAUUCUACCAUUUUUCGGUACUCACACUGAUUCGACCAUUUUCUCGUACUCGUCGGGACACUUUUUCGACAAUCGCACGGAUUCUACUAUUUCCCGGUACUCGCCCGGAUUCUUCCAUUUUUCGGUACUGACACUGAUUCAACCCUUUUCUCGUUCUCGCCUGGACAGUUUUUCGAUACUCGCACGGAUUCUAUCUUUUCCCAGUACUCACCCGGAUUCUACCAUUUUUCGGUAGUCACACUAAUUUGACCUUUUUCCGGUAUUAGUCGGGACACUUUUUCGGUACUCACACUGAUUCGACCCUUUUCCGGAACUCGUCGGUACAGUUUUUCGAUACUUGCACGGAUUCUACUAUUUCCCUGUACUCGCCCGGAUUCUUCCAUUUUUCGGUACUCACACUCAUUCAACCCUUUUCUCGUACUCGCCCGGACAGUUUUUCGAUACUAGCACGGAUUCUACCUUUUCCCGGUACUCACCCGGAUUCUACUAUUUUUCGGUACUCACACUAAUUCGACCCUUUUCCAGAACUCGUCGGUACAGUUUUUCGAUACUCGCACGGAUUCUACUAUUUCCCGGUACUCGCCCGGAUUCUUCCUUUUUACGGUACUCACAUUGAUUCAACCCUUUUCUCGUACUCGCCCUGACAGUUUUUCGAUACUCGCACGGAUUCUAUCUUUUCCCGGUACUCACCCGGAUUCUACCAUUUUUCGAUAGUCACACUAAUUUGACCUUUUUCCAGUAUUAGUCAGGACACUUUUUCGGUACUCACACUGAUUCGAUCAUUUUCUCGUACUCAUCGGGACACUUUUUCGACACGCACGGAUUCUACUAUUUCCCGGUACUCGCCCGGAUUCUUCCAUUGUUCGGUACUCACACUCAUUCAACCCUUUUCUCGUACUCGCCCGGACAGUUUUUCGAUACUCGCACGGAUUCUACCUUUUCCCGGUACUCACCCGUAUUCUACCAUUUUUCGGUAGUCACACUAAUUUGACCUUUUUCCGUUAUUAGUCGGGACACUUUUUCGGUACUCACACUGAUUCGACCCUUUUCCGGAACUCGUCGGUACAGUUUUUCGAUACUUGCACGGAUUCUACUAUUUCCCUGUACUCGCCCGGAUUCUUCCAUUUUUCGGUACUCACACUGAUUCAACCCUUUUCUCGUACUCGCCCGGACAAUUUUUCGAUACUCGCACGGAUUCUACCUUUUCCCGGUACUCACCCGGAUUCUACCAUUUUUCGAUACUCACACUAAUUCGAGCCUUUUCCGGUAUUAGUCGGGACACUUUUUCGGUACUCACACUGAUUCGACCCUUUUCCGGAACUCGUCGGUACAGUUUUUCGAUACUUGCACGAAUUCUACUAUUUCCCGGUACUCGCCCGGAUUCUUCCAUUUUUCGGUACUCACACUCAUUCAACCCUUUUCUCGUACUCGCCCGGACAGUUUUUCGAUACUACAACGGAUUCUACCUUUUCCCGGUACUCACCCGGAUUCUACCAUUUUCGGUACUCACACUAAUNNNNNNNNNNNNNNNNNNNNNNNNNNNNNNNNNNNNNNNNNNNNNNNNNNNNNNNNNNNNNNNNNNNNNNNNNNNNNNNNNNNNNNNNNNNNNNNNNNNNNNNNNNNNNNNNNNNNNNNNNNNNNNNUCGGUACUCACACUAAUUCGACCCUUUUCCAGAACUCGUCGGUACAGUUUUUCGAUACUCGCACGGAUUCUACUAUUUCCCGGUACUCGCCCGGAUUCUUCCAUUUUUCGGUACUCACACUCAUUCAACUCUUUUCUCGUACUCGCCCGGACAGUUUUUCGAUACUCGCACGGAUUCUAUCUUUUCCCGGUACUCACCCGGAUUCUACCAUUUUUCGAUAGUCACACUAAUUUGACCUUUUUCCAGUAUUAGUCAGGACACUUUUUCGGUACUCACACUGAUUCGAUCAUUUUCUCGUACUCAUCGGGACACUUUUUCGACACGCACGGAUUCUACUAUUUCCCGGUACUCGCCCGGAUUCUUCCAUUUUUCGGUACUCACACUCAUUCAACCCUUUUCUCGUACUCGCCCGGAUAGUUUUUCGAUACUCGCACGGAUUCUAUCUUUUCCCGGUACUCACCCGGAUUCUACCAUUUUUCGAUAGUCACACUAAUUUGACAUUUUUCCGGUAUUAGUCGGGACACUUUUUCGGUACUCACACUGAUUCGACCCUUUUCCGGAACUCGUCGGUACAGUUUUUCGAUACUCGCAUGGAUUCUACCUUUUCCCGGUACUCUCCCGAAUUCUUCCAUUUUUCGGUACUCACACUCAUUCAACCCUUUUCUCGUACUCGCCCGGAUAGUUUUUCGAUACUCGCACGGAUUUUAUCUUUUCCCGGUACUCACCCGGAUUCUACCAUUUUUCGAUAGUCACACUAAUUUGACAUUUUUCCGGUAUUAGUCGGGACACUUUUUCGGUACUCACACUGAUUCGACCCUUUUCCGGAACUCGUCGGUACAGUUUUUCGAUACUCGCAUGGAUUCUACCUUUUGCCGGUACUCUCCCGGAUUCUUCCAUUUUUCGGUACUCACACUCAUUCAACCCUUUUCUCGUACUCGCCCGGACAGUUUUUCGAUACUAGCACGGAUUCUACCUUUUCCCGGUACUCACCCGGAUUCUACUAUUUUUCGGUACUCACACUCAUUCGACCAUUUUCCAGAACUCGUCGGUACAGUUUUUCGAUACUCGCACGGAUUCUACUAUUUCCCGGUACUCGCCCGGAUUCUUCCUUUUUACGGUACUCACAUUUAUUCAACCCUUUUCUCGUACUCGCCCUGACAGUUUUUCGAUACUCGCACGGAUUCUAUUUUUUCCGGGUACUCACCCGGAUUCUACCAUUUUUCGGUAGUCACACUAAUUUGACCUUUUUCCGGUAUUAGUCGGGACACUUUUUCGGUACUCACACUGAUUCGAUCCUUUUCCGGAACUCGUCGGUACAGUUUUUCGAUACUUGCACGAAUUCUACUAUUUCCCGGUACUCGCCCGGAUUCUUCCAUUUUUCGGUACUCACACUCAUUCAACCCUUUUCUCGUACUCGCCCGGACAGUUUUUCGAUACUACAACGGAUUCUACCUUUUCCCGGUACUCACCCGGAUUCUACCAUUUUUCGGUACUCACACUAAUUCGACCCUUUUCCAGAACUCGUCGGUACAGUUUUUCGAUACUCGCACGGAUUCUACUAUUUCCCGGUUCUCGCCCGGAUUCUUCCAUUUUUCGGUACUCACACUCAUUCAACUCUUUUCUCGUACUCGCCCUGACAGUUUUUCGAUACUCGCACGGAUUAUAUCUUUUCCCGGUACUCACCCGGAUUCUACCAUUUUUCGAUAGUCACACUAAUUUGACCUUUUUCCAGUAUUAGUCAGGACACUUUUUCGGUACUCACACUGAUUCGAUCAUUUUCUCGUACUCAUCGGGACACUUUUUCGACACGCACGGAUUCUACUAUUUCCCGGUACUCGCCCGGAUUCUUCCAUUUUUCGGUACUCACACUCAUUCAACCCUUUUCUCGUACUCGCCCGGAUAGUUUUUCGAUACUCGCACGGAUUCUAUCUUUUCCCGGUACUCACCCGGAUUCUACCAUUUUUCGAUAGUCACACUAAUUUGACAUUUUUCCGGUAUUAGUCGGGACACUUUUUCGGUACUCACACUGAUUCGACCCUUUUCCGGAANNNNNNNNNNNNNNNNNNNNNNNNNNNNNNNNNNNNNNNNNNNNNNNNNNNNNNNNNNNNNNNNNNNNNNNNNNNNNNNNNNNNNNNNNNNNNNNAUAGUUUUUCGAUACUCGCACGGAUUCUAUCUUUUCCCGGUACUCACCCGGAUUCUACCAUUUUUCGAUAGUCACACUAAUUUGACAUUUUUCCGGUAUUAGUCGGGACACUUUUUCGGUACUCACACUGAUUCGACCCUUUUCCGGAACUCGUCGGUACAGUUUUUCGAUACUCGCAUGGAUUCUACCUUUUCCCGGUACUCUCCCGAAUUCUUCCAUUUUUCGGUACUCACACUCAUUCAACCCUUUUCUCGUACUCGCCCGGAUAGUUUUUCGAUACUCGCACGAAUUUUAUCUUUUCCCGGUACUCACCCGGAUUCUACCAUUUUUCGAUAGUCACACUAAUUUGACAUUUUUCCGGUAUUAGUCGGGACACUUUUUCGGUACUUACACUGAUUCGACCCUUUUCCGGAACUCGUCGGUACAGUUUUUCGAUACUCGCAUGGAUUCUACCUUUUGCCGGUACUCUCCCGGAUUCUUCCAUUUUUCGGUACUCACACUCAUUCAACCCUUUUCUCGUACUCGCCCGGACAGUUUUUCGAUACUAGCACGGAUUCUACCUUUUCCCGGUACUCACCCGGAUUCUACUAUUUUUCGGUACUCACACUCAUUCGACCAUUUUCCAGAACUCGUCGGUACAGUUUUUCGAUACUCGCACGGAUUCUACUAUUUCCCGGUACUCGCCCGGAUUCUUCCUUUUUACGGUACUCACAUUUAUUCAACCCUUUUCUCGUACUCGCCCUGACAGUUUUUCGAUACUCGCACGGAUUCUAUCUUUUCCGGGUACUCACCCGGAUUCUACCAUUUUUCGGUAGUCACACUAAAUUGACCUUUUUCCGGUAUUAGUCGGGACACUUUUUCGGUAUUCACACUGAUUCGACCCUUUUCCGGAACUCGUCGGUACAGUUUUUCGAUACUUGCACGGAUUCUACUAUUUCCCGGUACUCGCCCGGAUUCUUCCAUUUUUCGGUACUCACACUCAUUCAACCCUUUUCUCGUACUCGCCCGGACAGUUUUUCGAUACUACAACGGAUUCUACCUUUUCCCGGUACUCACCCGGAUUCUACCAUUUUUCGGUACUCACACUAACUCGACCCUUUUCCAGAACUCGUCGGCACAGUUUUUCGAUACUCGCACGGAUUCUACUAUUUCCCGGUACUCGCCCGGAUUCUUCCAUUUUUCGGUACUCACACUCAUUCAACUCUUUUCUCGUACUCGCCCUGACAGUUUUUCGAUACUCGCACGGAUUAUAUCUUUUCCCGGUACUCACCCGGAUUCUACCAUUUUUCGAUAGUCACACUAAUUUGACCUUUUUCCAGUAUUAGUCAGGACACUUUUUCGGUACUCACACUGAUUUGACCAUUUUCUCGUACUCGUCGGGAAACUUUUUCGACACGCACGGAUUCUACUAUUUCCCGGUACUCGCCCGGAUUCUUCCAUUGUUCGGUACUCACACUCAUUCAACCCUUUUCUCGUACUCGCCCGGACAGUUUUUCGAUACUCGCACGGAUUCUACCUUUUCCCGGUACUCACCCGUAUUCUACCAUUUUUCGGUAGUCACACUAAUUUGACCUUUUUCCGUUAUUAGUCGGGACACUUUUUCGGUACUCACACUGAUUCGACCCUUUUCCGGAACUCGUCGGUACAGUUUUUCGAUACUUGCACGGAUUCUACUAUUUCCCUGUACUCGCCCGGAUUCUUCCAUUUUUCGGUACUCACACUGAUUCAACCCUUUUCUCGUACUCGCCCGGACAAUUUUUCGAUACUCGCACGGAUUCUACCUUUUCCCGGUACUCACCCGGAUUCUACCAUUUUCGAUACUCACACUAAUUUCGAGCCUUUUCCGGUAUUAGUCGGGACACUUAUUUCGGAUACUCACAACUGAUUCCGACCCUUUUNNNNNNNNNNNNNNNNNNNNNNNNNNNNNNNNNNNNNNNNNNNNNNNNNNNNNNNNNNNNNNNNNNNNNNNNNNNNNNNNNNNNNNNNNNNNNNNNNNNNGAUACUUGCACGGAUUUUAUAUUUCCCGUACUUCGCCCGGAAUAUUCCAUUUUCGGUACUCACAGUGAAUAAACCCUUUUCUUGUACUCGCCCGGAUAGUUUUUCGAUACUCGCACGGAUUCUAUCUUUUCCCGGUACUCACCCGGAUUCUACCAUUUUUAGAUAGUCACACUAAUUUGACCUUUUUCCGGUAUUAGUCGGGACACUUUUUCGGUACUCACACUGAUUCGACCCUUUUCCGGAACUCGUCGGUACAGUUUUUCGAUACUCGCAUGGAUUCUACCUUUUCCCGGUACUCUCCCGGAUUCUUCCAUUUCUCGGUACUCACAUUGGUUCGACUCUUUUUCGGAACUCGUCGGUACAGUUUUUCGAUACUCGUACGGAUUCCACUUUUUCCCGGCACUCGCCUCGAUUCUACCAUUUUUCGGUACUCACACUGAUUCGACCAUUUUCUCGUACUCGUCGGGAUACUUUUUCGACAAUCGCACGGAUUCUACUAUUUGCCGGUACUCGCCCUGAUUCUUCCAUUUUUCGGUACACACACUGAUUCAACCCUUUUCUCGUUCUCGCCCGGACAGUUUUUCGAUACUCGCACGGAUUCUAUCUUUUCCCGGUACUCACCCGGAUUCUACCAUUUUUCGAUAGUCACACUAAUUUGACCUUUUUCCAGUAUUAGUCAGGACACUUUUUCGGUACUCACACUGAUUCGACCAGUUUCUCGUACUCGUCGGGACACUUUUUCGACACGCACGGAUUCUACUAUUUCCCGGUACUCGCCCGGAUUCUUCCAUUUUUCGGUACUCACACUCAUUCAACCCUUUUCUCGUACUCGCCCGGACAGUUUUUCGAUACUCGCACGGAUUCUACCUUUUCCCGGUACUCACCCGGAUUCUACCUUUUUUCGGUAGUCACACUAAUUUGACCUUUUUCCGGUAUUAGUCGGGACACUUUUUCGGUACUCACACUGAUUCGACCCUUUUCCGGAACUCGUCGGUACAGUUUUUCGAUACUCGCACGGAUUCUACCUUUUCCCGGUACUCACCCGGAUUCUACCAUUUUUCGGUAGUCACACUAAUUUGACCUUUUUCCGGUAUUAGUCGGGACACUUUUUCGGUACUCAUACUGAUUCGACCCUUUUCCGGAACUCGUCGGUACAGUUUUUCGAUACUUGCACGGAUUCUACUAUUUCCCGGUACUCGUCCGGAUUCUUCAAUUUUCGGUACUCACACUGAUGCAAUCCUUUUCUCGUACUCGCUCGGACAGUUUUUCGAUACUCGCACGGAUUCUACCUUUUCCCGGUACUCACCCGGAUUCUACCAUUUUUCGGUACUCACACUAAUUCGAGCCUUUUCCGGUAUUAGUCGGGACACUUUUUCGGUACUCACACUGAUUCGACCCUUUUUCGGAACUCGUCGGUACAGUUUUUCCAUACUCGCAUGGAUUCUACCUUUUCCCGGUACUCUCCCGGAUUCUACCAUUUCUCGGUACUCACAUUGGUUCGACUCUUUUUCGGAACUCGUCGGUACAGUUUUUCGAUACUCGUACGGAUUCCACUUUUUCCCGGCACUCGCCUCGAUUCUACCAUUUUUCGGUACUCACACUGAUUCGACCAUUUUCUCGUACUCGUCGGGACACUUUUUCGACAAUCGCACGGAUUCUACUAUUUCCCGGUACUCGCCCGGAUUCUUACAUUUUUCGGUACUGACACUGAUUCAACCCUUUUCUCGUUCUCGCCCGGACAGUUUUUCGAUACUCGCACGGAUUCUAUCUUUUCCCGGUACUCACCCGGAUUCUACCUUUUUUUCGGUAGUCACACUAAUUUGACCUUUUUUCGGUAUUAGUCGGGACACUUUUUCGGUACUCACACUGAUUCGACCCUUUUUCGGAACUCCUCGGUACAGUUUUUCGAUACUUGCACGGAUUCUACUAUUUCCCGGUACUCGCCCGGAUUCUUCCAUUUUUCGGUACUCACACUGAUUCAACCCUUUUCUCGU
rnacentral:lncRNA from 1 species